ACUCCUGCGGGAGGCAGCAGUGGGGAAUAUUGCACAAUGGGCGCAAGCCUGAUGCAGCCAUGCCGCGUGUAUGAAGAAGGCCUUCGGGUUGUAAAGUACUUUCAGCGGGGAGGAAGGCAAUACGGUUAAUAACCGUGUUGAUUGACGUUACCCGCAGAAGAAGCACCGGCUAACUCCGUGCCAGCAGCCGCGGUAAUACGGAGGGUGCAAGCGUUAAUCGGAAUUACUGGGCGUAAAGCGCACGCAGGCGGUCUGUCAAGUCGGAUGUGAAAUCCCCGGGCUCAACCUGGGAACUGCAUUCGAAACUGGCAGGCUUGAGUCUUGUAGAGGGGGGUAGAAUUCCAGGUGUAGCGGUGAAAUGCGUAGAGAUCUGGAGGAAUACCGGUGGCGAAGGCGGCCCCCUGGACAAAGACUGACGCUCAGGUGCGAAAGCGUGGGGAGCAAACAGGAUUAGAAACCCGGGUAGUCCCA
rnacentral:rRNA from 1 species